GGGGGUAUGGCUUAAUGAUACAGCACUUACCUAGCAUGUGCAAGGCCCUGGGUUCGAUUCCCAGCAUCACCA
rnacentral:tRNA from 1 species